rnacentral:rRNA from 1 species
AGCCUGAACGCUGGCGGCGUGGCUAAGACAUGCAAGUCGAACGGGUGUAGCAAUACACCAGUGGCGGACGGGUGAGUAAUGUAUCGCUAACGUACCCUGGAGCCAGGGAUAGCUGCCCGAAAGGGCAGGUAAUACCUGAUGAAAUAACCUUAUCGCAUGACGAGGUUCUCAAAGCAGCAAUGCAC